GUGUGUGUGUGUGAGAGAGAGAGAGAGAGUGAGAGAGAAAGAGAGAGAAAGCAUGAGAUGGUCCUGGAGUGUUUGCUUUAAAAUCAAACACACUCAGUGUGCUACAAGCUUUCACUGGCUUCUCCAGUGCUCAGGCUGGGUGAUUGGGAGGCCCAGGCAAAAGUGCACUGGGUUGAUCUGACCCAAGUCAGCACACAGAUAGACAAACAGAUGAAACCCAAACUGCUGGUCCUCCCCCCUCUAGUCCUCUGUAAAUAACAGUUUGGCCUAUAAUUAUAUAGUAAUGGGGGGGGGGGGCAACAACCUGGCCCAGCCUGGAGUAAUGGCGUCCACAAUCCAGCCUCAGAUUCUCCCCAAAGAGGGCGACUCAUUUUUCCCCAGUCUUUGAAACUGAUUUAAGUGGUCCUUUAAAACUGAUCUUGUCAGUUUAGCCCAUUGAAGGGCAGCCAUGCAAACUGUGAUCUCUCUGUUCAUUUGAGCUGUUUCUCUCUCCCCCCCCUUUUCUUCUCUCUCCCCUUUUCUCCCACUCCCCUUUAUUUUUCUUUAAAAAAAAUUUAAAUCCAGGUCUCUCCAAGAAGCAUCUUCAACUGCCCCCCACCAACCCUCCCUGUUAUCUUCAGUAAGACACUUUUCUAUUUUCUGAUAUGUGAAAAUACAAUAAGUGCCUUUGAAAUGAGAUGCUUUCUUGGUGAAGGCGGUUCAGGUUGUGACCUGACCUUUGGGGGGUUCCCUGAGACAAGACUGGGGUUAACACAUGCACAUUGUGAAUCAUUAAAACAGAUAUUUGAAAGCACCUACCAUCACCUCCACCCCUAGAACCAGGGUACACUUGCCUCCUCCUCCUCUAUCCAGGACUGCAUGUCUUCAGAAGACAUAGGUGUGUGUGCGUGUGUGUGUGUGUGUGUGUGUGUGUGUGUGUAAUUAAAGGGUCUGUUUGCCUAGGACCUAAUUCCUCCACGUUGGGACUGUGUGUCUCCCUCUGAAUCAGAUAACACGGGACCUUUAUCUCUUUGUGAGGUGACUUACAUUCUCUACUCAGGCCUCCACAAUUUGCAAAUAUUAAUAAAUUAAACUGUUAUGACAGGAUCGGGCAUUUCUUGCUUUGAAAGACUAAGCAAGGGUAAGGAUGGCAAAGAACUAACAAUGAUAUCAAGAAAAUAACAGCCAACCCCCACCCACCAGUGGAGAAUGUGGGUUAGGUGUCAAGUUGUGGGAAAGGGGUGAAUAUGCCUGAAGGCUAGGGGACUAUCUUGCCUCUACAUUUGCAUCAAGC